rnacentral:rRNA from 1 species
AUUGAACGCUGGCGGCAGGCCUAACACAUGCAAGUCGAGCGGAGCGGCGGACGGGUGAGUAAUGCCUAGGAAUCUGCCUGGUAGUGGGGGAUAACGUCCGGAAACGGGCGCUAAUACCGCAUACUAUCAGAUGAGCCUAGGUCGGAUGAGCUAGUGGGGGGGGUAACGGCCUACCAGGGCGACGAUCCGUAACUGUUCUGAGAGGAUGAUCAGUCACACGGGAACUGAAACAGGGUCCAAGUUCCUAGGGGAGGCAGAAGUGGGGAAUAUUGGACAUUGGGCGAAAGCCUAAUCCAGCCAUGCCGCGUGUGUGAAGAAGGUUUUGGGAUUGUAAAGCACUUUAAGUUGGGAGGCGUUACCAACAGAAUAAGCACCGGCUAACUUCGUGCCAGCUGCCGCGGUAAUAC